CCCUUCUCAGGAUCACACUUGGAGAGUUUCCAGUACUCUACCAGUCUCAGCUACAGGAGGAAGAGAGGGUCAAGCAGAGGCAUACCUAUUCCACUCUUAGCUUGGGCAAUGGCUAGCGAGUGGAAGAAAAUCUGCUACAGGU